CGGACGGGUGAGUAAUGUCUGGGAAACUGCCUGAUGGAGGGGGAUAACUACUGGAAACGGUAGCUAAUACCGCAUAAUGUCGCAAGACCAAAGAGGGGGACCUUCGGGCCUCUUGCCAUCGGAUGUGCCCAGAUGGGAUUAGCUAGUAGGUGGGGUAAAGGCUCACCUAGGCGACGAUCCCUAGCUGGUCUGAGAGGAUGACCAGCCACACUGGAACUGAGACACGGUCCAG
rnacentral:rRNA from 1 species